GACGAACGCUGGCGGCGUGCCUAAUACAUGCAAGUAGAACGCACAGUUUAUGCCGUAGCUUGCUACACCAUAAACUGUGAGUUGCGAACGGGUGAGUAACGCGUAGGUAACCUGCCUGGUAGCGGGGGAUAACUAUUGGAAACGAUAGCUAAUACCGCAUAAUAUUGAUUAUUGCAUGAUAAUUGAUUGAAAGAUGCUAUUGCAUCACUACCAGAUGGACCUGCGUUGUAUUAGCUAGUAGGUGAGGUAACGGCUCACCUAGGCGACGAUACAUAGCCGACCUGAGAGGGUGAUCGGCCACCCUGGGACUGAGACACGGCCCAGACUCCUACGGGAGGCAGCAGUAGGGAAUCUUCGGCAAUGGACGAAAGUCUGACCGAGCAACGCCGCGUGAGUGAAGAAGGUUUUCGGAUCGUAAAGCUCUGUUGUAAGAGAAGAACGGGUGUGAGAGUGGAAAGUUCACACUGUGACGGUAUCUUACCAGAAAGGGACGGCUAACUACGUG
rnacentral:rRNA from 1 species